CUGGGCGGACGGCCGCCCGGCCUCCGGGCCGGGAGGAAAGUCCAGACACCACAGGGCAGGGAUUCCGUCUGAAAGGGCGGAUGUCGCGGGGCGACCCCGCGGCCAGGAGAGCGCCACAGAGACCAGACCGCCGGCUUCGGCCGGCAAGGGUGAAAAGGCGGGGCAAGAGCCCGCCGCGCGGCCUGGCGACAGGCCGUGGCGAACCACCGGCCCACGGGCCGGGGCGGCAAGCCCAUCCCGGUGCAAGACCAAAUAGGGGACGAGGCGCGGCCCGCGCCGACAAGCCGGUCCGCCGGCAGUCCCGGGUAUCGGUCGCGUCAGAUGAAUGGCCGUCGGGCGCAUUGCGCGCCGCACAGAAUCUGGCUUACAGCCCAGGC
rnacentral:RNase_P_RNA from 1 species